GCCUUUGGCGAGUAGGUAGCGCGUCAGUCUCAUAAUCUGAAGGUCGUGAGUUCGAUCCUCACACGGGGCA
rnacentral:tRNA from 1 species